rnacentral:rRNA from 1 species
AGAGUUUGAUCCUGGCUCAGAGCGAACGCUGGCGGCGUGCCUAACACAUGCAAGUCGAACGUGAAAGGGGGCAGCCCCGAGUAAAGUGGCGUACGGGUGAGUAACGCGUAGGUAAUCUACCCCAGAGUCUGGAAUAACCUGCCGAAAGGCGGGCUAAUACUGGAUAGAGCGACGGAAUCCGUAAUUGGGUUUUUCGGGAAAGGGAGCGAGCAAUCGCCUUCGCUUUGGGAUGAGCCUGCGUCUCAUUAGCUAGUUGGUGGGGUAAUGGCCCACCAAGGCUUUGAUGGGUAGCUGGUCUGAGAGGAUGAUCAGCCACACUGGAACUGAAACACGGUCCAGACUCCUACGGGAGGCAGCAGUGGGGAAUCUUGCGCAAUGGACGAAAGUCUGACGCAGCCACGCCGCGUGAGUGAAGAAGGCCUUCGGGUUGUAAAGCUCUGUCGGGCGGGACGAACGUCCUUAAGGUGAAUAGCCUUAAGGAGUGACGGUACCGCCAAAGGAAGCACCGGCUAACUUCGUGCCAGCAGCCGCGGUAAUACGAGGGGUGCAAGCGUUGCUCGGAAUUAUUGGGCGUAAAGGGUAGGUAGGUGGUCUCAUUUGUCUGGGGUGAAAGCCUUGAGCUUAACUCAAGAAGUGCCCCAGAAACGGUGAGACUGGAGUCCCGGAGAGGGUCGUGGAAUUCCCGGUGUAGCGGUGAAAUGCGUAGAGAUCGGGAGGAACACCAGAGGCGAAGGCGGCGACCUGGACGGGCACUGACACUCAACUACGAAAGCGUGGGGAGCAAACAGGAUUAGAUACCCUAGUAGUCC